CUUCUGCUGCUCUGCAUGCUCUGCUCUUUUCAUGUGAAGAAAGCCAAGGUUAGAGGGCCACCCCCAACAAUUUCGAAGUCCUCUUCUCUUCGCCACCUUCUUCCUGAGAAGAGUCGAGAGAUAUGGUGCCUGGUGAUUCAUCAUCUCCUCUUGUAACACUGCCAUGAGUGAAGUGCUGGCAGCAAUUACAGUGAGGGUGACUUCGAAGGCGACUCCUCGAUCGUCUACUUAAUUUAGUACGUUCUUGGCAAUUAAUAUGCAGUGGACAUCUCCUCCUCGUUAGGUUCUUGACAUUACAUUCAUUUCCCUUCACCCACCGCUCCCACAACCUUACGUCUGUAAUUUCUUCUCACUUGGGUCGUUUUACAGCUUGAAUGGAUGAUGGAGAAGAAGAGUGAUGUAUUUACUUCUUGUUUGUCGCUUCCUGAAUUUGAAUGAUCUCCUGACGGUUGAGUUCCAGCAAAAUUAUUUUUGUGCAGUAGUCCUUUUCAACUCGCCUGACACGGAAUCUUAUGGUCGAAUGAUCUUCCUCACUUUCUUCCCCUUUGGUUCUUCGUUCAAAGAAGAAAAAAGAGAGAGAGAGAAAAAAAAGAAAAGAAAAAAAGACGUGCUGCCAAUUGUCUUUAGCCUUUCUGUUCAAGAAAACCCAAAUACAGUGACGGCGUUCCUCGGCCCACCGUCGGAGCUGCGGGAACACUGACGAGUCACUGCCUCUCCGCCGUUGCCUCCAUAGCGUUCUCGAACGUCGAUGAAGCCCGUCAUCGUUCAUCUGGUAGCUCCGACACUGCCCUUGGUCCCGUUGAUGUCGAGCGAUCUAUUUCUCCCCAGCGAGAGCUUGUUUUUCAGAAUACAAGAAGAGACCUGAUUUCAAGAGACAGAGCUACUUAUGGACGACAUUGGACUGACAUGGACUUCGCUGCUUGGAGCUGCUGAUGCGGUGCCUCUUCUGCUGUCGGCCUAUUUUUACAGGGGAGUGUCCUUCAACAUCGUCAAAAGUGAGAGUCUCACAGGUUCUCUCUCUCUCGACAACGGAGAUAUUUCUCUCAUUCUCUCUGAUUGCUCUAAAACCGUGAGGUGAUUCUUCAGUAAACUUAACCUUGAUUGAGAAGUGGGUUGGAUAUGGAUGUGUUCAUACACACCGCGAAUGGUUCAUGUGUACUGCAGAUCUGGUCAUUUCUUCAAGCGAUUAUAACAUUGAUAAAUAUGCAAAGAAGUUUCGCAUCAAUGACUCUGAUGGACAAAAAAUUGAUCUGUGUGGUAUUUCUUGUGACCUUUUCUUCUUUCUAUUUGCUGAUUUGAGUUAAGCAGAAAUACUACACUUAUGUUAAGAUGUUACUAGUCCGGAAACAAAGGCUACACUUGAAUAGCAGAAAAUUCAUCUCUCUAGUUGAAGAGGAUUAUGGAAUCAGAUGCUGCAAUAUGAAAGGAUCUAGUUGCUUGUAACAUUGUACCAUUGAAUCUCCAUCUUUAACAAGUUAAAGUCGUUCUUUCACACCCAGAUACUACUUGGAUUACCAAAGCUCCCUAAUACCUUCUUUGUGCCAGCAACAAGGACUGCAGAUAUUUUGCACUAUGUAUUCGGGUUUCAGGUUGGUCUUUGAUGAGAUUACAAUAAUUUCAGUUUAUUUCGUUACAAGAUUUAGUUUCUACCAAAUUUUCUCUUAGAGAUUGGUGCAGUAACGAAACUGGCUGACAUUUUUUGCAAGUAUCACAGCAUCAGCAUGAAGUUGGCUUCAAUAUUAUUGACAACAAAAAAAGAAUGGUUACUACAUAGAUAUUGUGAUAUUAUUUGUGCAUGUCUUUGUGCUAUGUGUGUGUGUAUGUUACUUCAAACUAAUAUUGCAAACUUAUAUUGCUACUAUAGUUACUUGAAGCUAUUCUCCACCUUUCGCAUGAGUGUAUGUGUAUCUGUAGAAUAAGUUCCAAACAUAAUUUCAGCAGAAAAUUUGGCAAAAAUUUGUUUCUUUAAAAAAGAAAGAGAUGAGGGCUAGAGACAGAGAGAGCUAGCUAGUGCAACCUUGGGUUAGGUGGUUGUGCAAAAGAUUUCUUCACAUUGAUAUCCUCAUUUGCCAAAUGCAAACAGUUAAACUUUGGUCUUCAUUUCCAUGAGGGGAAAACUGAUAGUUUUAUCAGUCAAAACCACUCUAAAACCCUUCAAAUAAAGCAGUGGUUUGUGACGUACUUAAAGAGAUCCUAUUUGUAGAAUCUGUAAGACAUGCAGUCUUCAGAAAUUCGGUCAAGAGUUGGGCUGGUGAAUACCAUCAAAUUUUCCUUUUUCUUUUUUACAUGAGCUGUUCAAAAUUUUGAUUCUUUAUGCUUUUUCAAGAAUAACACCGUGGAUCAAUUUCCUGGUUUCUUCUUUACUCAGUUAUAUGUUGGCGAAUGCACUGACAAAUUCUGAAUAUGGAUCUCAUUUUAAUGUAUGACUCUUGAAACUUUAGUCGGUGAAUUUUAGGACCCUUGUUGGUUUCUGCAGCGAGAGAUGUCAACAAAUGUGUUAUGGAUGUUAAGUUGUAUUCAACAUUGAAUGUUCAGUUCGUCAAAUUGAGAAUCAUGGAAGUUUAAC